ACACGUCUACAUUAGAUACCCGCGUAGUCCCAGCCGUAAACUAUGCGCGUUAGGUGUAUCGGUGACCACGAGUUACCGAGGUGCCGAAGGGAAACCGUGAAACGUGCCGCCUGGGAAGUACGGUCGCAAGGCUGAAACUUAAAGGAAUUGGCGGGGGAGCACCACAACAGGUGGAGCCUGCGGUUUAAUUGGACUCAACGCCGGGAAGCUCACCGGAUAGGACAGCAGAAUGAUUGCCGGGCUGAAGACCCUGCAUGACUAGCUG
rnacentral:rRNA from 1 species